GAUGAACGCUGGCGGCGUGCCUAAUACAUGCAAGUCGAGCGAACAGACGAGGAGCUUGCUCCUCUGACGUUAGCGGCGGACGGGUGAGUAACACGUGGAUAACCUACCUAUAAGACUGGGAUAACUUCGGGAAACCGGAGCUAAUACCGGAUAAUAUAUUGAACCGCAUGGUUCAAUAGUUAAAGACGGUUUUGCUGUCACUUUUAGAUGGUUCCGCGCCGCAUUAGCUAGUUGGUAAGGUAACGGCUUACCAAGGCAACGAUGCGUAGCCGACCUGAGAGGGUGAUCGGCCACACUGGAACUGAGACACGGUCCAGACUCCUACGGGAGGCAGCAGUAGGGAAUCUUCCGCAAUGGGCGAAAGCCUGACGGAGCAACGCCGCGUGAGUGAUGAAGGUCUUCGGAUCGUAAAACUCUGUUAUUAGGGAAGAAAAAAUGUGUAAGUAACUAUGCACGUCUUGACGGUACCUAAUCAGAAAGCCACGGCUAACUACGUG
rnacentral:rRNA from 1 species